rnacentral:rRNA from 1 species
CAGUCGCCGCGGUAAUACGUAGGUGGCAAGCGUUGUCCGGAAUUAUUGGGCGUAAAGGGCUCGCAGGCGGUUUCUUAAGUCUGAUGUGAAAGCCCCCGGCUCAACCGGGGAGGGUCAUUGGAAACUGGGAAACUUGAGUGCAGAAGAGGAGAGUGGAAUUCCACGUGUAGCGGUGAAAUGCGUAGAGAUGUGGAGGAACACCAGCGGCGAAGGCGACUCUCUGGUCUGUAACUGACGCUGAGGAGCGAAAGCGUGGGGAGCGAACAGGAUUAGAUACCCCUGUAGUCCCUGUCUCUUAUAC